AUAGACAGCUAGGAUGUUGGCUUAGAAGCAGCCACCAUUUAAAGAAAGCGUAAUAGCUCACUAGUCGAGUCGGCCUGCGCGGAAGAUUUAGCGGGGCUCAAGCGAUAUACCGAAGCUGCGGAUGUAUAUUUUAAAAUAUAUGUGGUAGGGGAGCGUUCUGUAAGCCUGUGAAGAUGGACUCGUAAGAGCUGUUGGAGGUAUCAGAAGUGCGAAUGCUGACAUAAGUAACGUUAAUGCGUGUGAAAGACACGCACGCCGAAAGACCAAGGUUUCCUGUUCAACGUUAAUCGGAGCAGGGUGAGUCGGCCCCUAAGACGAGGCAGAGAUGCGUAGUCGAUGGGAAUCAGGUUAAUAUUCCUGAACUCUCGUAUCAUGCGAUGGAGGGACGGAGAAAGCUAGACCAGCUGGUGAUUGGUAUACCAGUGUAAGCAGGUAGGCAGAGAUCUUAGGCAAAUCCGGGAUCUUAAUGCUGAGAUGUGAAUGCGAGGAGGUUACGACCUCCGGAGUGGUUGAUGCUAUGCUUCCAAGAAAAGCUUCUAAGCUAUAGUGAUAUGAGAACCGUACCCCAAACCGACACUGGUGGUUGGGAUGAGAAUUCUAAGGCGCUUGAGAGAACUCGGGUGAAGGAACUCGGCAAAAUCGUACCGUAACUUCGGGAGAAGGUACACCUUCCUUGGUGAAUGCUUUACGCAGUAAGCUGAGGAGGGUCGCAGUGAAAAGCUGGCUGCAACUGUUUAUCAAAAACACAGGACUCUGCAAACACGAAAGUGGACGUAUAGGGUCUGACGCCUGCCCGGUGCUGGAAGGUUAAUUGAUGGGGUUAGCGUAAGCGAAGCUCUUGAUCGAAGCCCCAGUAAACGGCGGCCGUAACUAUAACGGUCCUAAGGUAGCGAAAUUCCUUGUCGGGUAAGUUCCGACCUGCACGAAUGGCGCAAUGACGGCCAGGCUGUCUCCACCCGAGACUCAGUGAAAUUGAAAUCGCCGUGAAGAUGCGGUGUACCCGCGGCAAGACGGAAAGACCCCGUGAACCUUUACUAUAGCUUUACAGUGGAUUUUGAAUCUUUUUGUGCAGGAUAGGUGGGAGGCUUUGAAGCUAAGACGCUAGUUUUAGUGGAGCCAUCCUUGAAAUACCACCCUGAAAGUUUUGGAAUUCUAACUUAGAUCCAUCAUCUGGAUUAAGGACAUUGUAUGGUAGGUAGUUUGACUGGGGCGGUCUCCUCCGAAAGAGUAACGGAGGAGUACGAAGGUACCCUCAGCCCGGUCGGAAAUCGGGCUAUUGAGUGCAAAAGCAAAAGGGUGCUUGACUGCGAGACAGACACGUCGAGCAGGUACGAAAGUAGGUUUUAGUGAUCCGGUGGUUCUGUAUGGAAAGGCCAUCGCUCAACGGAUAAAAGGUACUCCGGGGAUAACAGGCUGAUUCCGCCCAAGAGUUCAUAUCGACGGCGGAGUUUGGCACCUCGAUGUCGACUCAUCACAUCCUGGGGCUGUAGUCGGUCCCAAGGGUAUGGCUGUUCGCCAUUUAAAGUGGUACGCGAGUUGGGUUCAGAACGUCGUGAGACAGUUCGGUCCCUAUCUGCCGUGGGCGUUGGAAAUUUGAGAGGAGCUGCUUCUAGUACGAGAGGACCGAAGUGGACGUAUCUCUGGUGGUCCGGUUGUCAUACCAAUGGCAUAGCCGGGUAGCUACAUACGGACGGGAUAACCGCUGAAAGCAUCUAAGCGGGAAGCCCACCUCAAGAUUAGAUUUCCCUAGGGGUUUAACCCCUCUGAAGGUCCGUCGAAGACUACGACGUUGAUAGGUUGGGUGUGUAAGUGCAGUAAUGCAUUGAGCUUACCAAUACUAAUUGACCGUGAGGCUUGACCAUAUAAUAG
rnacentral:rRNA from 1 species